rnacentral:lncRNA from 1 species
GUUACUCCUAUUCAUAUUUUCAAAAAUGGUCUCUUGUUAUGUGUGAAUGUAGUUAUGAUAUGAACAAACUCCAUGUCGCUUAGGUCUGGAUACAUCGAUUCUCUCUUCUUCAUAUUUUAAAGGAUAGUUUUUCAGUUUAUUUCAACUUUACUCUUCAUCUUCACAAGGGAUUACAAGGUAAUUACAACUUUAUUUUUUCACUUCAUCGGUUUUUUUUCCUUUCUACAGAGGGAGGAGAUUUUAAUAUUGUAUCUAUUUUCACUUCUUAGCAUUAAAUUUUUGGCUAUGUAAAUUUUAUUGGUAACAGUUAAGUAUUCCCAGUUUCGGGAAUUUUCCCUCUUCCUUGUCGAAAUUUUUUGUGAUUUCAGUUGAUAUUUUUGGGUUUUGCUUUUGGUUUGGCCUGAUUUGGAGCUUUGCGGAAGCCAUCAGAAAUGUAUCUAUAGUGUGGCAUUAAUCAAUAAAGGAAAAGCAAGGUUGGAAUACGGUUUCAUCCUUGAGGUGGAUCUGUGAAACAAAGCACUAAAUGGUGGCAGUGGCAAACCGCGGGAUUGAAUGAGAAGAGCAAGAGCCAAGAAUUACUUGUUUCUUUGGGUGAUUUUUCUAGCGUCAGGCACUCCUAUGUUUCUGUUGUAUAUAUGGUGCAUCAUGCAUGUUUGAAGUGUUAUGUGUUAGAACCUCAAAUGCUUACUGUUAUACAUAUAUAUAAUGUUUGAAGACGAACUUAUCACGUAUCUACCUUCUUUUGUUCUAACAGACUCUUCACUUCCAUUAUAAGUUGCUGUUUUUGUUUCCCCAUGUAAAUAAAGUAUGAU